rnacentral:rRNA from 1 species
ACGGAAGGCAGCAGUGGGGGAUAUUGCACAAUGGGCGCAAGCCUGAUGUAGCAACGCCGCGUGCGGGAAGACGGCCUUCGGGUUGUAGACCGCUGUCCUUGGUGAAGAAACAAAUGACGGUAACCAUGGAGGAAGCCACGGCUAACUACGUGCCAGCAGCCGCGGUAAUACGUAGGUGGCAAGCGUUGUCCGGAAUUACUGGGUGUAAAGGGAGCGCAGGCGGGACUGCAAGUUGGAUGUGAAAUACCGGAGCUCAACUCCGGGGCUGCAUCCAAAACUGUAGUUCUUGAGUGGAGUAGAGGUAAGCGGAAUUCCGAGUGUAGCGGUGAAAUGCGUAGAUAUUCGGAGGAACACCAGUGGCGAAGGCGGCUUACUGGGCUCUAACUGACGCUGAGGCUCGAAAGCGUGGGGAGCGAACAGGAUUAGAUACCCUGGUA